UCCCUUGAGCUAGACACGGAAAUUCCGGUCACACAAAAAUGACCCCCCCUACGCUUCUUCUUCUCCAUAAAAUCAAUCUCGAUUAGAGAAUCCGGGGAGCGAUAAUUUGAAACAGAGAACAGACCCCUUCGGCCAUUCAUUUCCCAAUCGUACCCCACCACCUUCCUGAAACCAAACGACCAUAACCACCCUUUCAGCUACAGAAACCAGCAAAAAAGAACCAUCCACCACAAAGCCAUCUGGCCGGAAAUGCUUUGAAAAUCAAUAGGACGCUAUCCUCUGUGUUUUUUAGUUUCUCUUUUAAUUUCUGAUUUUUCAAAAGAAACCAUGGAAUCGAUGGGGUUUGUUUGGGUUCGUCCCUAUGCUGAUGAGUUUCCGUUGGAGGUUUGGCGUAAGAUUGUGAGUUUGCUUCCAUUCACUGCUUAAGGUUCGCAUUUUUUCUGCUGAUUUUUCGCGGCUGAUUUCGCUCGGAUUUAGAGUCGAAACUCGGUAUUCGACGACUCUUCUACCAAUAUUAAGGAAGUCUUAGUCUAAACAGUUUCUUCUCCUCACUGAUUCAUUUUGUUAAAUCUUGUUUUUGAAUGUUGGAAUUUAAAUUAUGUAUAAUUAAAGUAUGAGAUUGUCACUUUCUGUCGAUUUACCUGUUGUUGCUAUUUGGAUUUAGGUAUUCCUAUGAAUUCUUAGCAUGAAAUAGUUGCCCCCUUUUCAAUUUCUGAAAUCAUGUUUGUUCUCCGUUGUGUCUGUUAUCACUACUCGUAUUCAGUGAUAUUGAAUUUAGUUUUAUCACAAAAAAUGAAGUGCUUAUGAACUUGGUAGAGUAUGUUUAUAGAUUGGGCAUGGUGUUAUUGAAGUAAGCAAUCUGCUCGUUUUAAUGUCGGCCUAUUGUUAAAAUUUAAAUCCCUAUGUAUUCCAAUCCUUGUUCUUGUUGGUUUCAGAAUUCUGCUUUUGUUAGAAUGUUCGAUGCAUCUCCCAUUCAUAAUCGGAUCCACUUCAGAUAAUAUUAGAUGUUCUAUUUCUUUCUCUUUGUUUCUUCCUAUUUCAUAUCUGCAACAAUAAGGCUGACUAUAUUUUAGUAAUUCUAGAAUGUUUUGAGUUAUGAAUGAAAUUGUUUCUUGAGUUGUGGUUGUAAUAUUGUGGUUUUUGGCUUUCAUAUUGUGGAAGACUACUCAGAAUUAUAAGCGAGUCCAGUGGUGAGCCUGUGAGUCCUCAUAACCAGCUUGUUGAAACUUCAAAUAAUAAUCCUCCUAUAGUUGCUAAUAACCUGGCGUGGAGAUAACUCAAUAAUAGGAGUGGUGUCCCUAAUUUCAAUUAUACUAUUGAGAACUUGUGCUGAUAAUCCCUCGGUACUUAGGAAGCCAACCAUUUUGUUGGUUUAGAAUUUCUUUCUUAUGUGUAAGCAUCGUUGUGUAGGCAUUUUCAGUGUUUUGAGUUAUAGAUAAAAAUCAAUUCGUUAGAAGGUUGAAAUAAUUCGAGGUGCGCCGUGCCAAACAAAAAUGAUAAUUGCACGGCCCUCAUUUUAUUUAAUUCUGUAUUGAUUCUUAGAAUCCGAAGAGUGUCAUUUAGCGAAUUCCACGGCCCUCGUCAAAGUGCAAACGCAUAGUUGCUUUAUGCGCGUAUUUAAUAAUAUUACCCUCCUAAAAUCGGGUGCGCAUUGAU
rnacentral:lncRNA from 1 species